CUUCAAAGGGUCAUCCUUCUCAGAGGCCUGCAGAGUGGGGGGAGGGGUAUGUCCACCCUCACACCAGGCCCAUCUGGGGCUCCUGGACACAUGGGUGUCUAUCAGAAGGGGAGGAUGUCGAUAGCCUGUCCUCCCUGCUGGCACCACAUGGCUGCAGGCCCACAUCAGUCCUGCAGGUCCACACGGGCAGCUCAGGUGCUGGGCAGAGGAGGGAACCUGGGUAGGGUGGCUGCUCACGUUUUCAUGAAGAUUGAACCAGACUUUGAAACCUGCAUGGGUCACCUAAAGGUGAUAGGAAGCACAAAGAAUCUGCUGGGUGGUGUCCAGAGGCAGGAGGGGACAGUGCUUUGGGACAGCUGGGUGGAAGCAGGGCCGAGCCAGCCCUGCCAGGCCAGGCUGGAGCUGCCAGGUCCACAGUAAGUGCGUGUUUGUUUGGGACACCUGCUUGCCCUGGGGUGGGAAGGGAAGGGACCGAGGGCCAGCACCGGGGCACAGGGAGGUCAGUGAUGGAGAUGGUAGGUCCAGGGUCUGCCACUGGUGGGUUCUGUGGCUGGGGACAGACUCCUCAGCACUCCCAGCCACUCUUCUGGAAAUGGUACCGACCCCUCCUUGUGGGGACCCGGGGGUCAGCCCAGUCCAUGGAGGUGCAGCGUGCUUCAGAGCCUGUGAGAGGGCCCACGGGCCGUUUAAAAAGCCAGAUUAUUGAGGUCCAACCACGUCCC
rnacentral:lncRNA from 1 species